rnacentral:rRNA from 1 species
GACGAACCGUCCGAACGUUAUUCGGAAUCACUGGGCGUUAAAGGGUGCGUAGGUCGGCGCGGAAAGUUGGGAUUGUGAAAUUCCCUCGGCUCAACCGAGGAACUGCGCCCAAAACUACCGUGCUCGAGGGAGAUAGAGGUGAGCGGAACUUAGGGUGGAGCGGUGAAAUGCGUUGAUAUCCUAAGGAACACCGGUGGCGAAAGCGGCUCACUGGAUCUCUUCUGACGCUGAGGCACGAAAGCUAGGGUAGCGAAACGGG